UACGUAGGUGGCAAGCGUUGUCCGGAUUUAUUGGGUUUAAAGGGUGCGUAGGCGGUCUUAUAAGUCAGUGGUGAAAUACGGCAGCUCAACUGUCGAGGUGCCAUUGAUACUGUAGGACUUGAGUACAGACGAGGUAGGCGGAAUUGACGGUGUAGCGGUGAAAUGCUUAGAUAUCGUCAAGAACACCGAUAGCGAAGGCAGCUUACUAGGCUGUAACUGACGCUGAGGCACGAAAAGUGUGGGGGAGCGAACAGGG
rnacentral:rRNA from 1 species